rnacentral:lncRNA from 13 species
AGCAAAUGUGUUUGGGACUGCGAGCUCAAGAGAUGGGAUCAAGCUUGGGCAAAGAGUUGGACCCAUGUUUUUCCCCUCAGCAUGACUGCCAAACACGUAUCAUCAAUAACUGCUGGAGAGGACACAAAUUGAAGUGGAUUGAGAACUGGCUGAGCAGCAGAUCCCAGAGGGUCGUAAUCACUGUCACAGGAUCUAGCUGGAGACCUGUCACUAGUGGUGUCCACCAAGGUUCAGUACUGGGCCCACUACUGUUUAACUUAUUCAUCAGUGACUUGGAUGAAGGAGCAGAGGCCUCCUCAGCAAGUUCACUGAUGACACAAAGCUGGGAGGAGUGGCCAAUACCCCAGAGUUGUGCAGCCCUUCAGAAGGACCUCGACAGGUUGGAGAGAGGGAGAUGGGCAGAGAAGAACUGCCUGAGAUUCAACAAAGGCAAAUGCAGGGUCCUACACAUGGGGAAGAAUAACCCCAAGCACCAGGACAGGCUGGGGGCUGACCUGCUGGAAAGCAGCUGUGCAGAGAAGGACCUGGGGGUCCUGGUGGGCAACAAGCUGUCCAUGAGCCAGCAGUGUGUCGUUGUGGCCAAGAAGGCCAAAGGUAUCCUGGGGUGCAUUAGGAAAGGCAUUGCCAGAAGGUCGAGGGAGGUGAUCCUGCCCCUCUGCUCAGCCCUGGUGAGGCCACAUCUGGAGAGCUGUGUGCAGUUCUGGGAUACUCAAGACAGGAGAGACAUGGGGCUCCUGGAGCAGGUCCAGCGAAGGGUGACAAAGAUGAUUGAGAGAUGGGAGUAUCUCUCUCAUGAGGAAAGGUUGAGGAAAUUGUGCUUCUUCAGCCUCAAGAAGAGAGGACUGAGAAGGAACCUCUUCAGUGUCUAUCAGUGUCUGAAGGGAGGGUGUCAAGAGGAUGGAGCCAGGCUCUUCUUGGUUGUUCCAAGCAAUACGACAAGAGUCCUGAGCAAAGAAACUGUAGCAUAGGAAGUUCCACCUGAGUGUGAGGAGGAACUUCUUUACUGUGCGGGUGCCCACACACUGGAACAGAUUGCCCAGAGAGGGUGUGGAGUCUUUCUCACUGGAGAUUUUCGAGAGUCAUUUGGAG